rnacentral:rRNA from 1 species
AGAGUUUGAUCAUGGCUCAGAUUGAACGCUGGCGGUAGGCUUAACACAUGCAAGUCGUGCGAGAAAGUAUCUUCGGAUAUGAGUAGAGCGGCGGACGGGUGAGUAACGCGUAGGAAUCUACCUAGUAGAAGGGGAUAGCCCGGGGAAACCCGGAUUAAUACCGUAUACCUCCUUCGGGAGAAAGAAGGCCUCUCUUUGAAGCUUUCGCUACUAGAUGAGCCUGCGUAAGAUUAGCUUGUUGGUGAGGUAAAGGCUCACCAAGGCGACGAUCUUUAGCUGGUCUGAGAGGACGAUCAGCCACAUUGGGACUGAGACACGGCCCAGACUCCUACGGGAGGCAGCAGUGGGGAAUAUUGGACAAUGGGCGCAAGCCUGAUCCAGCCGUACCGCGUGUGUGAAGAAGGCCUUCGGGUUGUAAAGCACUUUAAGCAGGGAGAAAAAGUUAUAAGUUAAUACCUUAUAACCCUGAUGUUACCUGCAGAAUAAGCACCGGCUAAUUCCGUGCCAGCAGCCGCGGUAAUACGGAAGGUGCAAGCGUUAAUCGGAAUUACUGGGCGUAAAGCGCGCGUAGGUGGUUUGUUAAGUUGGAUGUGAAAGCCCUGGGCUCAACCUAGGAACUGCAUCCAAAACUAACUCACUAGAGUACGAUAGAGGGAGGUAGAAUUCAUAGUGUAGCGGUGGAAUGCGUAGAUAUUAUGAAGAAUACCAGUGGCGAAGGCGGCCUCCUGGAUCUGUACUGACACUGAGGUGCGAAAGCGUG